UUGCAGUGAUGACUUAAGUCUGUCAAUCCCCUGAGUGCAGUCACUGAUGUCUCCAUGUCUCUGAGCAA
ensembl:snoRNA